AGGGAAUGCAGAAGACAAGACUGGGCAGGAGGAGCCGGAGGUGCAGAAGAAUCCUGGAUGCCGUGGAAGACAGUGACUACGAUCCAAAGGACGCUCAGGAGGGAUUUCUAGAACAAGUCCUCCAUCUCCCAGUGGCCACCACUCCUAAGGUAUCAGCCUAGGGACAUUUCACUUGUCUGAAGAAAUUGAUGACUACCCAGUGGUGUACGCGUAAUAAGAAGUUUUAAAGCUGCAUGGUGUGGAGCAGCAAGAAACCUCAGAGUCCACACCACUUUAAAAACAAUAACAACAACCCCACAGGAAACCCAGUAUUGUUAUGUCUUGACAGUACAACACACCAAGAAGCAGCAUGGUCUUAUGGUUAAGGCACUGAAUUUGCACUCAAGAGAUUUGGGUUAGAUUCCUAGCUCAGCUACAGACUUCCUGUGUGAUCUUCCCAAGUUGCUUGUUCUCUCUGUAAAAUGGGGAUAACAACACCUCCAUUCUUUCACUUUUUGUCGGCCUCUUCAAGUAAGGUCUCUUACUAAGUGUCUGUGCAAUGCCUAGUGCAAUGGGACCCUGAUCUCAGGUGGGACCCUAGGCUCUGCUGCAAUAGAAAUAAAUAACGAAACAAGCAGCCACUAGGAAAUGAAACUGACUUUGUGCAGAAGAACAAUACUCCUACAAGACUGAAACAACAUGCUGCUUAGUGUGGCAAUGAAACAACUGAGAUUCCAGAAAACCGCCUUUGCAACAGAACCCAUCUGUCAGCACCUACAGGUGUGCAGC